rnacentral:rRNA from 1 species
CAAUGACUCUCGGUAAUGGAUAUCUCGGCUCUUGCAUCRAUGAAGAACGUAAUGAACURCGAUACUUGGUGUGAAUUGCAGAAUCUCGUGAACCAUUGAGUCUUUGAACGCAAGUUGUGCCSGACGCCUUCUGGCGGAGGACACGCCUCCUUGGGAGUCAUGA